GUAUGAUAUGCAUGUUGCAUGACCAAGUCAAUCAAUUAUCAGGCAAACACUUUUCCCCCGAGACAAGAAAAUGCAUGGUUGUGAUUGUUUGUUUGAAGCGCCUGGGGUGGGCCCCAGGCACUUGUGUGUAUCUUUGAUGAUCCCUCCGCAGGUUCACCUACGGAGA
rnacentral:misc_RNA from 1 species